GACAUGUGGAACGCUUAGAAGUGAGAAUGCCGGUGUGAGUAGCGAAAGACGGGUGAGAAUCCCGUCCACCGAUUGACUAAGGUUUCCAGAGGAAGGCUCGUCCGCUCUGGGUUAGUCGGGUCCUAAGCUGAGGCCGACAGGCGUAGGCGAUGGAUAACAGGUUGAUAUUCCUGUACCACCUAUAAUCGUUUUAAUCGAUGGGGGGACGCAGUAGGAUAGGCGAAGCGUGCGAUUGGAUUGCACGUCUAAG
rnacentral:rRNA from 1 species